AUAAACUGUCAAGACAGCUUAAAGCAUGAUCUUUUCUAGGCUCGGAAGCUAAGCAGGGUCGGGCAUGCAUCGUACUAGAUGGGAGACCAAAAGGGGAUAACAGGUACAGUUUGGC
rnacentral:rRNA from 1 species